rnacentral:rRNA from 1 species
AUUGAACGCUGGCGGCAGGCCUAACACAUGCAAGUCGAGCGGAUGAAGGGAGCUCGCUCUUGGAUUCAGCGGCGGACGGGUGAGUAAUGCCUAGGAAUCUGCCCGGUAGUGGGGGAUAACGUCCGGAAACGGGCGCUAAUACCGCAUACGUCCUGAGGGAGAAAGUGGGGGAUCUUCGGACCUCACGCUAUUAGAUGAGCCUAGGUCGGAUUAGCUAGUUGGUGGGGUAAAGGCCUACCAAGGCGACGAUCCGUAACUGGUCUGAGAGGAUGAUCAGUCACACUGGAACUGAGACACGGUCCAGACUCCUACGGGAGGCAGCAGUGGGGAAUAUUGGACAAUGGGCGAAAGCCUGAUCCAGCCAUGCCGCGUGUGUGAUGAAGGUCUUCGGAUUGUAAAGCACUUUAAGUUGGGAGGAAGAGCAGUAAGUUAAUACCUUGCUGUUUUGACGUUACCAACAGAAUAAGCACCGGCUAACUUCGUG